ACUCAAAGGAAUUGACGGGGACCCGCACAAGCAGUGGAGUAUGUGGUUUAAUUCGAAGCAACGCGAAGAACCUUACCAGGGCUUGACAUCCCCUGCAUACCGCGGAGACGCGGGAAGCCCUUCGGGGCAGGGAGACAGGUGGUGCAUGGUUGUCGUCAGCUCGUGUCGUGAGAUGUUGGGUUAAGUCCCGCAACGAGCGCAACCCUUGCUGCCAGUUGCCAUCAUUAGGUUGGGCACUCUGGCGGGACUGCCGGCGAUAAGUCGGAGGAAGGUGGGGAUGACGUCAAAUCAUCAUGCCCCUUAUGUCCUGGGCUACACACGUACUACAAUGGGCGUUACAACGGGAGGCGAAGGAGCAAUCCGGAGCGAAUCCUCCAAAGGCGCCCCCAGUUCGGAUCGCGGGCUGAAACCCGCCCGCGUGAAGUUGGAAUUGCUAGUAAUGGCAGGUCAGCAUACUGCCGUGAAUACGUUCCCGGGUCUUGUACACACCGCCCGU
rnacentral:rRNA from 1 species